rnacentral:rRNA from 1 species
AAUGGGCGCAAGCCUGAUGCAGCGACGCCGCGUGAGGGAUGACGGCCUUCGGGUUGUAAACCUCUUUCAGUAGGGAAGAAGCGAAAGUGACGGUACCUGCAGAAGAAGCACCGGCUAACUACGUGCCAGCAGCCGCGGUAAUACGUAGGGUGCGAGCGUUAUCCGGAAUUAUUGGGCGUAAAGAGCUCGUAGGCGGUUUGUCGCGUCUGUCGUGAAAGUCCGGGGCUUAACCCCGGAUCUGCGGUGGGUACGGGCAGACUAGAGUGCAGUAGGGGAGACUGGAAUUCCUGGUGUAGCGGUGGAAUGCGCAGAUAUCAGGAGGAACACCGAUGGCGAAGGCAGGUCUCUGGGCUGUAACUGACGCUGAGGAGCGAAAGCAUGGGGAGCGAACAGGAUUAGAUACCCUGGUAGUCCAUGCCGUAAACGUUGGGCACUAGGUGUGGGGACCAUUCCACGGUUUCCGCGCCGCAGCUAACGCAUUAAGUGCCCCGCCUGGGGAGUACGGCCGCAAGGCUAAAACUCAAAGGAAUUGACGGGGGCCCGCACAAGCGGCGGAGCAUGCGGAUUAAUUCGAUGCAACGCGAAGAACCUUACCAAGGCUUGACAUGUUCUCGAUCGCCGUAGAGAUACGGUUUCCCCUUUGGGGCGGGUUCACAGGUGGUGCAUGGUUGUCGUCAGCUCGUGUCGUGAGAUGUUGGGUUAAGUCC